rnacentral:rRNA from 1 species
UACGUAGGAUGCUAGCGUUGUCCGGAUUUACUGGGCGUAAAGCGCGCGUAGGCGGCUAUUCAAGUCAGAGGUGAAAUCCCUGGGCUCAACCCAGGAAUUGCCUUUGAAAACUGUAUAGCUUGAGUGUCGGAGGGGAUAGCGGAAUUCCUAAUGUAGAGGUGAAAUUCGUAGAUAUUAGGAGGAACACCGGUGGCGAAGGCGGCUAUCUGGACGACAACUGACGCUGAGGCGCGAAAGCGUGGGGAUCAAACAGGAUU